UUCUCAAUUCUUACACACACUAACUUGACCUCCAACCUUGUUUUUAUAAAAGAAAAGGAAAGGAAAAAAAAAAUAGUGAAGGAGCUGGGUUUUGUUUUAGUAGAGUAGGUCAUAGUUAAGAAAUAGCGUCUUCAUCAAUGUACCUCUACUUUAUGCUUUUAUGUUGCUAUGAAAAUAAUGUUUUUAUUACAAGGUCUUCGUCAAAUUUCCCUUAAAUCGAUCAUAUUAUUUUAUAAUAAAGUCGUUCUACCUAUCACUUUUAUUUACCAACUUGUUCCCUUAAUUUUUCACUAUAAAUACCUUGUUGCUUCAGACUAUAUUCAUCACCAUCGAUUUGCCUCCCUUUCUUGAUUACCUCAACCUCCUGACAUCGCUAAGAUACCAUGGCUCGCUUCCAAGUGAUCGCCGUGGCAAUUUUUAUAACUAUCAUGCUCCUCCUGUCCACUGGGAUGUCCACCGCAGUACCGAAACCUAUACAAGGAAGGAAGCUCUUCCAGUAUAAUUUUAACGCUGGUGCGUAUCCGACGAUGAACAUCCCCGAUACACUCGGUACACCCAGUGGACAUCCUUAGUUAAUUAGCAGAUAUAGCUGGUUAAGAAAUAAGGUCUUCAUCAAUGGAGCUCUACUUUAUGCUUUUAUAUUACUAUGGAAAUAUUGUUUUUAUUACAAGGAGAGAAACGAAUGCAGUGGCAGACAGUUUAGCAAGGCAGGCUGUUCAUCAAAACAGGGACUACGUCGCUUGUCUUGGAUGGCUUUUUAUUUUAGGAAAGCUCUGUUUUUCGAUCUCUUCUCCUUCAUAGUUUUCUGUAACCAUCACCCUGUUGAUAGAGAACUAAUAUAAUCAAAACAAUUUAGGAGCACGUUCUUUUAUCUCGGUGCAGAUUUAAGGUUUUUAUUAUACGGUAUUAGAGUUUGAAUGAGAUGAUAAGUUUGAGUGUUACUACUUGUACUUCGAGAUAAUAAUAUAAGCAUGUGAUUGUUUGUUUA